AAUUUUCAGAUGAAACUAUCUCUACAUUAUCCAACAUCGAGCUAGCUUUCCGAUGCAUGUUGAAUCACCCAAAAUGACAGUUGGAUGUAUGAUGAUUUAUUGAAGAUGUGUCAAUACUAAUGAACUUCCAUAUAUCAAUGAAAACGCCUUACAUGGUUUAAUAAUUUCAUGACGAUUUUUACUUUAUUUUUUGCCAAAUUUUCUUGUUUGUUUCUUCUAGAAACUCAUGUUAGACGAGUUUGAAGUCCAGUACUUAAUUUAUACUUUCUCUUUAUUUUGUUUGAGUAAAUUUGUAUCCUAAGGGAAUUAGGAAAAGCCUAGGAGAUCUCUCCUAUAAAUACCCCAC
rnacentral:lncRNA from 1 species